CAAUAGCGUAUAUUUAAGUUGCUGCAGUUAAAAAGCUCGUAGUUGGAUUUCGGGUGGGAAUGGCCGGUCCGCCGUUUCGGUGUGCACUUGCUACGCCCACCUUGCUGCCGGGGACGUGCUCUUGAGUUCACGCUCGGGACACGGAGUCGGCGAGGUUACUUUGAGUAAAUUAGAGUGUUCAAAGCAGGCCUACGCUCUGAAUACAUUAGCAUGGAAUAACACGAUAGGACUCUGGCCUAUCUUGUUGGUCUGUAGGACCGGAGUAAUGAUUAAGAGGGACAGUCGGGGGCAUUCGUAUUUCAUUGUCAGAGGUGAAAUUCUUGGAUUUAUGAAAGACGAACUACUGCGAAAGCAUUUGCCGAGGAUGUUUUCAUUAA
rnacentral:rRNA from 1 species